AUAAUUGCUUUGGGUGAAUACCUAGGUACUCAGAGACGAUGAAGGGCGUGGAAACCAACGAAAUGCUUUGUGGAGCUGGAAGCAAGCUGUGAAUCAAAGAUUCCCGAUAUAGGGCAACCUUAAAUACUUUCCAAUAAAUUCAUAGUUGGAAGAGAGAUAACCUGAUGAAUUGAAACAUCUUAGUAAUCAGAGGAAAAGAAAACAAAAUGUGUAUUCUCCUAGUAGCGGCGAGCGAAUAGAGAGUAGCCUAAACCAAUAGAAUUGGUGUUGUGGGAUAAAUUAAAGAAAAAAAGAGCUAAUAAUUAAAGAAAUCAUAAUGAAACAGCUGAAUCCUGUACCAAAGAUGGUGAUAGUCCAGUAAUAAAUGAUUCUUAUAGUCUCUUUCUCUUAUCCCGAGUAGCAUGGGGUAUGUGAAAUACCGUGUAAAUCAACGAGGACCACCUCGUAAGGCUAAAUACUCCUGAGUGACCGAUAGUGAAGUAGUACCGUCAGGGAAAGGUGAAAAGAACCCCUUGAGGGGAGUGAAAUAGAAUAUGAAACCUUUAGCGAACAAGAUGUAGGAGGGAUUACAAUGCCUGACUGCGUGCCUGUUGAAGAAUGAGCCGGCGACUUAUAGAUUGUGGCUUGAUUAAAGAUUGUUAUAUUUUUCUGUAGUCAAAGCGAAAGCGAGUUUGAAUAAAAGCGUAUUAGUCAUUAUUUAUAGACUCGAACCCGGGUGAUCUAACCAUGACCAGAGUGAAGCUUAGGUAAAACUGAGUGAAGGCUCGAACUGACCGAUGUUGAAAAAUCGGCAGAUGAGUUGUGGUUAGCGGAGAAAUUCCAAUCGAACUCGGAGCUAGCUAGUUCUCCCCGAAAUGUGUUGAGGCGCAGCAAUGAUUGAAGGAUUGAUAUAGGGGUAAAGCACUGUUUCGGUGCGGGCUGUGAAAACGGUACCAAAUCGAUGCAAACUCAGAAUACUAUGCAUAUUUACCAAUCAUCAGUGAGACUGUGGGGGAUAAGCUUCAUUGUCAAGAGGGAAACAACCCAGACCAUCGAUUAAGGCCCCUAAAUGGCUACUAAGUGAAAAAGGAGGUAAUAAUACUAAGACAACUAGAAGGUUUGCUUAGAAGCAGCAAUCCUUAAAAGAGUGCGUAAUAGCUCACUGGUUAAGUGUUGUUGCACCGAAAAUGAAUGGGACUAAGUAGAUCUGCCGAAUUCAUGGGAAAUCGCUUUUAGAAAGUGAUUAUCGGUAGGGGAGCG
rnacentral:rRNA from 1 species